rnacentral:rRNA from 1 species
AACGAACGCUGGCGGCGCGCCUAAUACAUGCAAGUCGAGCGAGAAGACGUAGCAAUACGUUUGUAAAGCGGCGAACGGGUGAGGAAUACAUGGGUAACCUACCCUCGAGUGGGGAAUAACUAGCCGAAAGGUUAGCUAAUACCGCGUACGCUCCUUGGACUUCGGUUCAGGGAGGAAAGCGAUACCGUGGGUAGUCGCGCUCUUGGAUGGGCUCAUGUCCUAUCAGCUUGUUGGUGAGGAACGGCUCACCAAGGCUUCGACGGGUAGCUGGUCUGAGAGGACAAUCAGCCACACUGGCACUGCGACACGGGCCAGACUCCUACGGGAGGCAGCAGUAAGGAAUAUUGCGCAAUGGGCGAAAGCCUGACGCAGCGACGCCGC